UACGGAGGGGGCUAGCGUUGUUCGGAAUUACUGGGCGUAAAGCGUACGUAGGCGGCUUUGUAAGUUAGAGGUGAAAGCCCGGGGCUCAACUCCGGAAUUGCCUUUAAGACUGCAUCGCUUGAAUCAUGGAGAGGUGAGUGGAAUUCCGAGUGUAGAGGUGAAAUUCGUAGAUAUUCGGAAGAACACCAGUGGCGAAGGCGACUCACUGGACAUGUAAUUGACGCUGAGGUACGGAAAGCGUGGG
rnacentral:rRNA from 1 species